GGGCGCGGGCGGGUUUCGCUUUCUGCCCCGCCGCGCCAUGCUGCCGCGCCCAGGCCGCCCCUCACGGCCCCGCGUUUAGGAGCCGGCCUGAGGCAGAAGGGGCGAGUAAACGACGGGAAAACGGAGCAAAAGCAGCACUGUUUUGUUUUGUUUUGUUUUGUUUUUUUAAGCGGAGAGAGCAGGGUUUGGAGGAAAGGCAGAUACCGUUUUACUUCGGUUAAAAGGCAUUAAAUACCGGACUUCCCCCAGCCUAGGCAGGAGAGAGAUUCACAAGAUGGAAUCACAACAGCACUCACAUACUAAAACUUCAUUACUUAUUGAUGGAAAGAUGCUGCACCAUGAAACUGAAGGGCUCAGACACCCACGUGUCCUGCUCAGACAUCUCUGCUGCAGAGAAAUUACUCUUUUGACAACACUUGAAGUAAAGAAAACUUAACAAACAGAUUUGGAGUAACAUUUUAAAGGGUUAGGGAACAUUUGAAAGCUGGAAAGUCACACCAACAUAAACCACAGCCUUUCCCCAGUGGUAACUCCAGGAGCAAGCACAAAACUAGCAAGGAAACCCACCAGCAAGCAAUGCGAUCAGUUUGUUACUUCUCUAUAAGCCUUUAAUCAUCAAUUAGCUGAACAAACCAGUUGCAGAUAAAUUCUAUUCUUAAGUGAUUGUUGUGCGCCGAGUUUUGAUGCUUCAUUAAAGACACUUACUUGCAAACUGUAACAGCUGGAAACCAGGUUUUUAUGUUCUACAGUCAAGAACAUGCUGCCAAAUUUCAUACAUACAAAAGCUCAGCAACAGAGCUAUAAUAUUUCCUGUGUUGAGGAUGACUUAUGCUGUUAUAUUACUGAUGUGUAUUAUGUUGAUUCAACAAAACCUAAAGACCAUUGUAUCUUCUGCCACGCUGGUACCAGUAGGGAUUUGCAUGGGUGAUAUAACAGCAGCAGAACAAUCUCAAGAAUUGUUGAUGUUUCCAAUUUUGAGGUUAUGCACUCCAAGUAAGUGAAAUCCCACCCUAACUUCAGUGAAUCCUGAAGGGUUUAGAGCUAGAGAAAACAAGCAAACCAACCAGGAAGACAGCACUAUAGAAUACUGACAUAUCAAUCUGGUAUCCAUCACUUAAUUAAAAUACAAAAAUAAUCUAUGUUGACAAUUUCAAAUAAGGCAGCUUCCUGCGGUAUUUUGAACUGCUUUGAUUACCAGCUGGUAUUUUAGAGAAUAGCUUUAUUUUCUUUGAUUUUAGUAUUUUCAAAUAAGGGAUGGAAUUGUUUCAUUUCUCAGUGCUUAUACCUUCUACUUAAUUUCUUACUCAUGUGCAUUAUGGGCUACUAUCAUAGCAUACCUAAAAAUAAAUUAGCUUGCAAGCAGUUAUAGAAGAACACCCAAGAGGGGAAAAAAAGAAAAGACACCUUAAAAAACAACUUCUAUCAGCAGCAGCUUAUAGUAUAAGGAACUUAAAAAGUAAUGUAUGUCUCACCAUUUA